ACGCGAGGACGACCUCGCUCAUCCAUUUCUACAACGGGGACGACCCUG
rnacentral:ncRNA from 1 species